rfam:Gossypium hirsutum cultivar TM-1 unplaced genomic scaffold scaffold3045.1, whole genome shotgun sequence
UAUUAAAAUUUUCAUCUAUUUUAUUAUUAAAAACUGACAUGACUGAUAAGAUAACUAGAUUUUUACACAUGGCGUGCCAUGUGGACCUCCUGUUGACAUACAGAAACCAAUUUUUAAUAAUAAAACUGAAUGGAUAUUUUAACA